rnacentral:rRNA from 1 species
GGAUGAACGCUGGCGGCGUGCCUAAUACAUGCAAGUCGAGCGAACGGACGAGAAGCUUGCUUCUCUGAUGUUAGCGACGGACGGGUGAGUAACACGUGGAUAACCUACCUAUAAGACUGGGAUAACUUCGGGAAACCGGAGCUAAUACCGGAUAAUAUUUUGAACCGCAUGGUUCAAAAGUGAAAGACGGUCUUGCUGUCACUUAUAGAUGGAUCCGCGCUGCAUUAGCUAGUUGGUAAGGUAACGGCUUACCAAGGCAACGAUGCAUAGCCGACCUGAGAGGGUGAUCGGCCACACUGGAACUGAGACACGGUCCAGACUCCUACGGGAGGCAGCAGUAGGGAAUCUUCCGCAAUGGGCGAAAGCCUGACGGAGCAACGCCGCGUGAGUGAUGAAGGUCUUCGGAUCGUAAAACUCUGUUAUUAGGGAAGAACAUAUGUGUAAGUAACUGUGCACAUCUUGACGGUACCUAAUCAGAAAGCCACGGCUAACUACGUG